UCUGAAUGUCUGUCUGACUGUCCGUGUCUGCGCCAGUCCCUCUCCUGUGGGAGAAAGACAGACCAGUGAGGUCAGAGUCUCUGGGUGUCACCACAGGUCACCAGAAUUGCCAAUCUUCCAGAUCCCCCCAGCCAGGGCUGAAGGUGGAGGUUCCCAGGGGAAUAGUUGGGUAGGCUUGGCCUCCACCUCUUCCUCCCAUCCUUCCUGGGCCCUUCCUGCCUGGUCUGCACUCCUGGGGCAAGACCAGAAUCAGCCUGCUAAUUAUCAGAAGGAUUAAUACUUGGAGCUGUUCUCAUUUGAGGCAAAGACAAAUCAUUUUUUCCCACUGCUAUGAAGAGGAGAUAUGUUAGGGUGAGCCUCCUCAUAACUGGGUAAGCAUGAGCCUCUUUAAAACCUUUUUUCCCAAAAAAGAAUUCUUUGAUAAAUAGGGGAUAUUUUUGUGACAAUGGCUCUGGCUAAGCAAGCUCUGUCCUGGGGUCAGAGGUCAUCUUGUCCAGUCCACCUUUUCAGGAGCCUCGGAUCAUUCUCCCCUGUGUCCCCUCCCUGGCUGGUUACCCCAGCACCCUUGGUGGCAGGGAGAUGCUGGCAGGGCAGAUCUGGCUGCAGCGAAGGACAUGGGCUAUACGGGUGGCAAGCACAAUGGGUCUACAUUUUCCUUUCAUGUUCCUGAAAGCAGCUCCCUAUACAAUUCCUCAGCAUGUACAGUAAACACUUGAACACGGUAACUGCCAUGCAUCUGAGAGAGCCACCUCUGGCCCCGGGCUCAUUCUUCCUCAAACAGCAGGACACUGCAGAAAUGGCCUUUGGUAUCAGAUGAAGCUGGUAUGCUUCUAGGCUUUGCUGCUUCCUAGCAGGUGCCUUCACCUCUCUGAGUUUUUACCUAUUGUGUAAAGCGGGGCCAGUAAUGGCACUGCCCAGGAGGGCUAUUGGGAGGAUUAGGGCAAGAGAGCCUAUAAAGGCAGCCCUGGUGCACAGUUAUCCCUCGAAAGAGGUUAGUGUCAGCCCCAGACCACUCACUCCGUCAUUACCAGUCCUCCCUGUUAGAUUCUGUACUCUGGGGCAGGGACCAUGUCUUUCUUAUCUUUGUAUCCCCAAUGCCUGACCUAAUGUCACUCAAUGGAUCUUUGCUGGAUAAUGGAAGAAGGAAGUUGAGUCGCAAGGACUCACUGAGGCCUGGAGAGCUGUGGGCAUUCCCAGGAUCAGAGGACUCUGAAGAAGUGAAGGGGCAGGAUGUCCUGCAGAAUGCUCCGCUUUUCCUGGUCCCAUGCCUCUGUUCACCCGUUCACUGGGCCAUGGGUGGCUCUGCCUGAUCCCUCAGGUUUCUGGCCAUCGUGGGAGCCUUCCACACUGGGGGAAGGGAUGGCAGCAGGUGUGGUGAAUGUGCAAAAGGGGGUAUUAUCUCUUUAAAGGACAGUAAUUAGUAAUUCCAGCUGAUGGGUGUACUGUGCUGUUUUAAUGAAGUAUUCUAUUUUUACAGAAAACACAUAAUUGAGUGAAAAAGCAGGCUAUUCUCUGAGUUAGGUGGCCUAUGCCUCUGGAAAGUCUAACUCCUCGGCCAGGAGGCCAGAAUUGGCACACAGACAGCAUGGGGUUCUAUAGGAAGCGGACCCCAUCCUGGGCUGCCCCCAGUCGGACUCAGUGGUGAAAACCAGGGGCCACAUUUGAGGAUCCACGUUCAAAUCCCAGCUUCCCUUCUUCUAGCCAUGUGACCCCGGGCAAGUCAGGUAACUUCAAUUUUGUAUCUAUAAAAUGGGAAUGACAAGAUCUGUAUAUAUGCCUUGGGGGUUCUUAUGUGGAAAUAAAAGCCUAGCAGGGGGUUGGCAUUUCAUAAAGGGUCUGAUCCACGUCUGCCCUGUCAAUAUUUACCUAGCCCCUGUUAUCUAGUUGCUUACUUAUGCCCUCCAUGCCUCUGUUUCUUCAUCUGUAAAGUGGGAACAAUGGGAGUUUCUGUAUCUCCUAAUAUUGCUAAGGGGGUGUAAUUGAAGUGCUUAGAGCAGCGCCUGGCAGAGCAAGCACUGGGUGCACUGCUCAUGGGUUCAAGCAGACUAGGGCUGUUCAGCCCAUUAGCUGGCGUGAGUUCUAGUCCUUGCUUUGCCACUCAUCAGCUACCUGAUCUUGAGAUAUCAUCUAGCGUUCCCAUUAGUUUGUUCACCUUUAAAGUAGGAGAGCUAUAAAAACUAAAACAUAAAUCAAACACAAAUGAUAACAAAACAGGGUAAGGGGUGUGCGCACUCUGAGAGCUGUAAGAUGUCAACAUCCCCAUGUGUUCCCUUCCUUCCUUCCCAUGGUCUACUCAUCAGAUGGUCUACUUGGGUGCUGGGCGCCCAGCCACGGGCUCCCUACAGGAGGAGGGGAAAGCAGAGGACAGGCCACAGUCUCUGCCCCAGAGGUGUUUCCACACUCAGGGGAGGUUCAAACAAUACAUCUGAGACGAUUAGGAAACUAAACAGAGGAGAACCAAGCACUCGACUGAGUGGGUCAGCUUUGAGGAACUCCAUGAGGAACACUUCAGGCCAAGUGAAGCUGAGGGGUCUCUGAGAAAGCACAGCAGGGUAGGGAGGGCUGGACUGGCAGAGAAGAAAAGCCAGGAGGUGGGUGGGAGGGGCCAGCCUGACCAGGCAGAGACUCCUUCCCCAGGACAGGAUGGGGGCAUGGAGAAAGGGGGAGUAGCCCCUCUGUGUCGGAGACAGAGCACCCCUAGAGCCCCAUUCAGGCUGUCAUCACCUGGCUCUCAGGGUGUGGCCCUGCCCCUGGCCAGGAAUACCAGGCAUUUGCUGAAGGGCGCAGGUCUCCCAGACUCCUAGACUCCAUGCCUCUGGGACAGACUCCACCAGGGCAAUUAACUGAUUAAAGUCACACCGAGCUCUCUGAGGGUAUUAUUAAAGCCCUAACAGGAGCAUCUCCCUGAGAAGGAGAGGGCCACAGUCAGGUCCAGCCUUAGUACCUUCCCAUGGACGAACCCCCAGUGUGAAAGGGAUUCUUAUGGUUCCCAGCCCUGAAAACCAACGAUUUUUCCUUGGGUCUGGAGAAUUACAUUGACUCAUAUCCCCUAAUCUUUUAAGGCUUACACUGAUCUUCUACCUCCUAACGAAUUCAUUCAAUGUGACCCAACUUUGAAGCUUUAAAAAUCAACAGCCUGUAUGCUUUGCUUACUGAAUUUAGCCUCUCUGUACUUCAAACCCUGUCCUACCUGGAGUACAUGCUAUGGCUGGCUGCAUGGCAAGGCCUUCUUGUCUGUGUGGACUGAUGGCUGACCCAGUGGCCUCCAGGCCCAUUUCCCUCAGCUGCAGGCCACCUCCAGUUAACCCCAGAUAACUCUGCAAACACAAAUUCACAACCUCGAAAGAUAUGAACGCAAACCACGCAGGGCAAUUCCAUGACCAUUCGGAGGCGGAAGAACUUGCAGAAAGUCCUCAGGGAGAACAAAGGAAGGCUUCCAAGCUGGUAUAAGGCACCAAGAAGCAAACGCUUUGGUCCUGGUUUGUGAUCUCUGCUCAGUGAGCAGAACCUGAGGACCCGAAGACCACCUGUAGCCAAGAGGAGGACAGCCCUGCUUCACAGUACGAAUGCCCCUCCUGGGCCCGGGCCCCUCCAGCUAGAGAAUGGUGUGCCCUGGGCCCCAGUGCCUGUCUCUAGAACAGGUUAUAAGCAAGGAAAUCAAGGAGUCCAGGAAGCAAAGGGCUAAAACCACUUUAAAACAAAUGAAGAAUUCCUUUUGGAAAAAUAUGCAAAUAUCUCUUUCCUUUCCUCCCUCUCCUCUUCAAACAAAGCCACCCAGGUCAUCUACCCUGCUAGUCUGAGUUAAGUGGACAACUAAGGGAGACCGAGGACUCUGACUGCAGCGUCACACAGAGUGAGAUCACAGGAGGCUGCACGGAACAACCAGCGAAGGGAAAUGCUGAAUGUCAAACCAGCUUAGCAAUGAGGAACUGACCUUUGGGGAAGAGAGCCUGGUGCCAGUGAUUAUGUCUGGCUUAACACUCCCCCUCUACCACGCAGCCUGCAAGCUGAACCCCCGGCUCUUGUCCUCGGGGGGCUGUGGAAGCUAAAUAUGUUUAAUGAAUGCAGCAAAGUGAUAAACUAGGUUUAUGCUCAUACCUUUGAUUCCAGCCUCCUCACUGGAGGGUUGGUAUUUUAAGCGUCCUUUUGAUCUACUACAAGUCCCUAAUAAGAUCCAUCCAAUAAACACACUGGGUUUAAGUCAGAAAUGUUAACAGGAGCCCCAGAGGAAUGCACCACUAGAAAUAUGUCACUUGCCACUUGAGAAAAAGGUGAGGCAGGACAGGUAGAUCAGAGAGGUGCCCUUGGGGCCAGCGCUAACCUUAACUAAAUAAGGUCAAGGUCUGGCCCCAGCCAACGCCUAGUUAUCAGCUCAAACAUUUUCCAAAACAGCCUAGGUUUCCCUGGGGAGAUGGCUUUGAUGGUUUCAUUUGUUUACACACAGCGAGCUCUGGCUUGUUGAGAGGGCUGCAUUCAUUGUUCCAGUGCUGGGGAGUGCUCCCCACUUCCACACACCUUCCCCCAGGACCUUCCAAGUCCCCCUGGACCUGGGUGGGGCGGCCUACCCUGACUGACAGUGGUGGAAGGAGGCAACCUUGGAAUUGCGGAGACGGGCAGGGCAAACCAGUUGGCUCCUCUGCCACCAGCCCAGGGCCGGGGCUUUCAACACUGAUGUGGCAGGCUGCCAAGCCUGGGGUGGGGGCAGUGACUGACAGGCUGGUUAUUGGAAAGCUCCCAUCAUUAGCUCAGGAAUGUUGUUUGGUUACCAUGGUGACCUUCACUACAAGAGGCCUGACUAAAGCACAAGGAAUCUGCUACCUAAAACCAGCGCCCCAAGGAGCCCUGGGCUUCAGGAUCCAUGCUUAUCAGUAGCUGAUUCCCUCUGACCCUGCACUCCUGCCCCCCUGGGCUGGGCCUCCCAGCUGCCUCCCGUACCCACGACCAGGAGAAAAGCCUAGCAAAGGUAUCUUCAAGUUCGUAUGGGCCCUCUCGCAUUCCAGGGCCUGGCCUGGCUUAGAACCAGGUCUGAACAGGGAGGCUGCUGCCCCCACGAGGCCCUCUGCAGGCUGACCAGGACUGGCCUCAGCCAGCACAUGUGUCCAGGGCUUAGUUAGAAGCCCUCAGGAUUUCAGGAGGUUGCUCAGGGUGUCUGGUUCCCACUGUGCCAGGCUCACACUGUCCCCGUGGCCAUCGGUCUCUGCCUCAUCACGUUCCUGCCUUUUUAAACCCAAGCUCCAUUAACUAAAGGUCCUCCCACAGCACGAAAAUCAAGAUCCUCUUUGCUUUGCUUUCUAAUCCCUGAAUUCAGGAGGAUUUUCGAAAGUUCAACUCCACGAAAGCUGAAUUUUUCUCCAGGAGUCUUGAGACUGCUUGUAGGAAUUACGGCCUCUUAUGCAGCUAAAAAGCUUAAAGACCUUUCACAGAGCUUCCCUGCCUCUGCCUCCCUGCCCUCCCUUACACACAGGGCACCCUCCUCCACCUCCUGGCCCACGAGCACUGGCCCCCUUGGGUGCCAUGUUGCAGUCUGACACAGUGGGCUGCCUUCCAGACCCCACCACACGGUUAUAAACCGACCGUGAGACCUUCUCUUGCCCGAGUCUUACAAGACUUUGGAAGCUGAGGGAGGCAGAAUGGAUGUCAGUCUUCUGGCAGAUGAGAAAAUGAAGGCAAGGAAAGGAGGAGCAUGCUGCUGGAGGGGACACAGUGAUGUUUACUGGACCGGUCAUUUAAUUAACUGCCAUUGCAACAGCUGGCGCCACACAGCUUGUUCCCAAAGCAGGGAGCAGCUGGAGAAGCAGGAUGCAGUUUCCACUGAAGAGCAAUGACAUUUUUCAGUGAUCCCUGACCAGUAAUGGACUCGAUGAUAUAUCCUGCUAACCCAUGGAUUUCUGUAUUCCCGGAGUUUCAUCUGUGGGGAAUAGUACUGACUUAUUUGCAAAGA